rnacentral:rRNA from 1 species
AAGGGUGCGUAGGCGGUUUAUUAAGUCAGUGGUGAAAGACGGUCGCUCAACGAUUGCAGUGCCAUUGAUACUGGUAGACUUGAGUGGGAUUGAGGUAGCUGGAAUGGAUAGUGUAGCGGUAGAAAUGCAUAGAUAUUAUCCAGAACACCAAUUGCGUAGGCAAGUUACUAAGUCUCAACUGACGCUGAGGCACGAAAGUGUGGGUAUCAAACAGGAUUAGAUACCCUAGU